GACGAACGCUGGCGGCGUGCUUAACACAUGCAAGUCGAACGGAAAGGCCCUGCUUUUGUGGGGUGCUCGAGUGGCGAACGGGUGAGUAACACGUGAGUAACCUGCCCUUGACUUUGGGAUAACUUCAGGAAACUGGGGCUAAUACCGGAUAGGAGCUCCUGCUGCAUGGUGGGGGUUGGAAAGUUUCGGCGGUUGGGGAUGGACUCGCGGCUUAUCAGCUUGUUGGUGGGGUAGUGGCUUACCAAGGCUUUGACGGGUAGCCGGCCUGAGAGGGUGACCGGCCCCAUUGGGCCUGGGAUACGGCCCAGACGCCUACGGGAGGCAGCAGUGGGGAAUAUUGCACAAUGGGCGGAGGCCUGAUGCAGCAACGCCGCGUGCGGGAUGACGGCCUUCGGGUUGUAAACCGCUUUCGCCUGUGACGAAGCGUGAGUGACGGUAAUGGGUAAAGAAGCACCGGCUACCUACGU
rnacentral:rRNA from 1 species